rnacentral:lncRNA from 1 species
CCUCUUUAAAUUCAGUUGUACCAUUAGUGAAUUUUUCAUGUGUGUGUUGGAUCGAAUUAUCGUUGUCCUGUCAAUUUGAGGUUUUGGAGCAUUGGAAGAAUUCAGCAUGAAAACUCAUACCUAACCCUAUAAUUGUGUUUACUUUAUUAUCUUCUUCAUAUUCAUCGAGAUCGUUCAUACAGAUGUUGUCGAAACAAGAAAUUCGAAUUAUUUUACUGCACGAGUUCAAACUUGAAUAUAAAGCUACGGAAGCAACUUGAAAUGUCAACAAAGCAUGGGUUGAUGACACCGUUAAUCGAAGACCUCAUUAAAGGGGAUCCACAUGAAACCAUACGAGAAGUUGCUGAAGAACUCAUUGUCGACCAUUCAACUGUUAUUCACAAUUUAAAACAAAUUGGAAAAGUGAAAAAACUUGAUAAGUGGGUAUGACUAGAUUCAUAUUUUCAGGUUUGAAAUAAGAAAAUUGUCAUUAUUAUUAAAUUAAUUAGUUAUAUGCAAUAAUUACUAACUUUGGCAGCCAAUUACAGCAAUCGGAGUACACAUUAACAAAAUGUAUGGAAAACAGGCUAGCAUCUAAUUGAAUUAAUCUUUUAAUUUUUAAAUAAUUAACAGUAUGAUAUAUAUGCUACACAUAUAUACUGAUAAUAUAUAAUUUAAUAUAUAAUUGAACGUAAAAACAAAUGAAUAAGAAAUAUAUACGAAAAACUAUCAUUCAUGGGUGCCUUAUUGUUAGUUGAAGGAAAUCACUAGUUUCUAUAAAAUUUAAAUCAGUUCAAUACUUUUAAUUUUUAAAUAA